rnacentral:lncRNA from 1 species
GGAUCCCAAGUUGCCACUGUUUGAAGGUGAUGACUUAAAAAUACUGACCCAGGAGUUCACCAAGGCUAGAAACCUCCUCAAGCAAGCCCAGGUCUUCAGAUCCCAGCUCCUGAAGAAAAAUGGCAUGCAAUCAAAGGUUACUGCUUGCUAGAGAUAUGCUCUCAGUGACUCCUGGUUAGUGUCAAGGCACAGCUCAGAUAGCAUCGUUCCACUAGGAAGAUGUCCCUGGGACCUAUCCAGGACCUCCAGGAACUUCCGAUGCUUCCGGCUUUCCUCUUCUUCUGGACGUCCUGAGCACGAUGCCUCUUGUUGCAUUCAGCACUGCAGGCCACCAUGCCUGCCUAAGCUUUCUUGACCAUGGUUCCGCCAUGAAACUGCUGUCUUAACCAUCCAUGGAUCCCCAGACCCUACCAUGGAGCAGUCACGUGGUAAGCAGUGAGCAACCACCUGGAUGUGACAGCCCGGCCCUGGAUUCUCCUGGUUCCUCCCUGUACCACCCAUCCACAGCCCAAGGCAGCUACCAGCAGCCCAGCUUGGGGAAGGACAGCCAAGAGCCAGGUCCACUACACCUGCUAACUGCAGUCCAGAGCAAAUGCUCUGCUCUGCUACAGCCUCUGAAAAUCAGACUUCACCCUUUGAGCCCAGCUAUGCUGUGUCCAAACGAGUGGGGGCAUCGUGUGUUAGAUCAGCUGGGAUCGUUUGCUAAAAUGUGAAAAUUGCUUUUGCUAAUAGAGUCAAAAUAAGUUUAAA